rnacentral:rRNA from 1 species
GACGAACGCUGGCGGCGUGCUUAACACAUGCAAGUCGAACGGACAGGCCCUGCGUUUGUGGGGUGCUCGAGUGGCGAACGGGUGAGUAACACGUGAGUAAACUGCCCUUGACUUUGGGGUAACUUCAGGGAACUGCGGCUAAUACCGGAUAGGAGCUCCUGCUGCAUGGUGGGCGUUGGAAAGUUUCGGCGGUUGGGGAUGGACUCGCGGCUUAUCGGCUUGUUGGUGGGGUAGUGGCUUACGAAGGCUUUGACGGGUAGCCGGCCUGAGAGGGUGACCGGGGACAUUGGUACUGAGAUACGGACCAGACUCGUAUGGGACGCAGCAGUGGGGAGUAUUGCACAAUGGGCGGAAGCCUGAUGCAGCAACGCUGCGUUCGGGAUGACGGCUUUCGGGUUGUAAACCGCUGUCGCCUGUGACGAAGCGGGAGUGACGGUAAUGGGUAAAGAAGCACCGGCUAACUACGUG